UACGUAGGUGGCAAGCGUUGUCCGGAAUUAUUGGGCGUAAAGCGCGCGCAGGCGGUCCCUUAAGUCUGAUGUGAAAGCCCACGGCUCAACCGUGGAGGGUCAUUGGAAACUGGGGGACUUGAGUACAGAAGAGGAAAGCGGAAUUCCACGUGUAGCGGUGAAAUGCGUAGAUAUUGGGAAGAACACCGGUGGCGAAAGCGCCUUGCUGGACCUGCACUGACACUGAGGGACGAAAGCUAGGGGAGCGAAAGGG
rnacentral:rRNA from 1 species